AUACGUAGGGGGCAAGCGUUAUCCGGAUUUACUGGGUGUAAAGCGAGUGUAGACGGCUGCACAAGUCCGAUGUGAAAUUCCGCGGCUCAACUGCGGGACUGCAUUGGAAACUGUGCUGCUGGAGUGUCGGAGAGGUAAGUGGAAUUCCUAGUGUAGCGGUGAAAUGCGUAGAUAUUAGGAGGAACGCCAAUCGCGAAGGCAGCAUACGAGGCAUCAUCUGACGCUGAUGCACGAAAGCGUGGGGAUCAAACAGGAUUAGAUACCCUGGUAGUCCACGCUGUAAACUAUGAUAACUAUCUUUUAGCGAUACACAGUUAGAGGGUACGAGAAAUCAUUAAGUUAUCCACCUGGGGAUUACGUUCGCAAGAAUGAAACUCAAAGGAAUUGACGGGG
rnacentral:rRNA from 1 species